rnacentral:rRNA from 1 species
ACUCAAAUGAAUUGACGGGGACCCGCACAAGCGGUGGAGCGUGUGGUUUAAUUCGACGCUACGCGCAGAACCUUACCAGGGCUUGACAUCCUCGAAAUCUGCAGGAAACUGCGGAGUGCCUGUAAGGGAAUCGAGAGACAGGUGAUGCAUGGCCGUCGUCAGCUCGUGUCGUGAGAUGUAGGGUUAAGUCCCUCAACGAGCGCAACCCUCGUCGCAAGUUAUAUUAUCUUGUGAGACUGCCCCGGUAACGGGGAGGAAGGGGAGGAUGAUGCCUGGUCCGCAUUUCCCUUAUGUCCUGGGCUACACACACGCUACAAUGGCCGGUACAAUGGGUUGCCAAACCGCAAGGUGGAGCUAAUCCUAGCAAAACCGGUCCCAGUUCGGAUCGGGGGCUGAAACUCGCCCCCGUGAAGUCGGAAUCGCUAGUAACCGUAGGUCAGCACACUACGGUGAAUACGUUCCCGGGUCUUGUACACACCGCCCGU